GUGAAGGAAAAACUACUCAUUUGUCUAUGCAUAUUAGCAUAGCUAUAAUGGUUAUGAUGUUUUAUUUUUAAUCAGAGUAUCCUAUUACGUUGUUAGUUACCACAUACGUAGGAAGGCCAGAGUUAAUUUCAAGAAACAAUAGUCCCAUAAAACAAAGUCAGAUAGUAUUGUUGUAAGUGAUGGAAGAGAUAGCUCUGAUGUCAAUUUGCUGCCGUAACUAUGGAAAGAAUAGCUGCUCUGAAGGACAAGGCUUACUUUGCUUUAGAAAGGAGUAGGGAGAAGUACACACCUGGGGUCCAGGAGGUCCCUGAGCACCGUUGUUUCCAUCAGGACCUGGAGCACCCUGAAUAAAAUAGAAAGGCCGGUGGUUACACACAAGUCAGGCAGCCUAAUAUGCUUCAAAGCACUUUGAAAGCUAAUUCCUCAAGACUAGUUUAUCAUUUUUAGGAUUAAAGCAACCCAUUGUAAGUUUCACCAAGUUCUAAAUGGUGCCUAUUGACUUUUGAUGUAGUUUAAGAGAAGUCCACAGAUAGGAGGCAGUUUACAAAGGACAGAGAAUAUCAGCACGUAUUCAUAACCUCUUAAUCCUAAUAUGAAUACGAGAAAGACCAGAUGCAUCUGUAUCUUUGAACAAUAUGUUCUGAUUUGUUAUAGUUCACUGCCUUUUCCAUGUAGUUAAAAAUAAAGACAUUUGAGCAUGGUAAAAGGACCUUUAGGGUGCCACUUUGGAAAGUAACAGUGAUAGCAGAAGGCAGCCUCAAACAAAGCACUUUUGGGGGGCGAUUUCUCUGUAGAAAUUAAUACCUACCCGAGCACCAGCAAGACCAGGAUGACCUUUAUCUCCAGCUUUGCCAGGAUCACCCUAUUAAAAAAGUACACACACAUAUAUAAUUUCAUAUAUAUAUAUGCCAUGAUCUCAAGAGGGGACCAAGUCAGAGGCAGAUACAGUGGAGGGGUUGGAGGGAUAGAAGGCAAGAAGAAAAUGCUGGUGCAAUAAACAGAACACGAAAAGAUUAUACGUCCAAUGUUCCCUGACAAUUUUGAAAUGUUGAUUUUGUUGCUUGUUUGUGUAUUUUUCUGACAUUUCUCAGCUUUGAAUUUAUUAUCCAAGGCAUGCUCCAACACUGUGAAGCUCUGUACGGAAAGGACUCUGUUUGUGGAGGUGUGCAACUCAGGGAGAAAAUGUUCUCACCGUUUGACCAGGUUCGCCAGGCUCACCAGCAGGUCCUUGGAAACCUUGAGGGCCCUAAGGACUCUGUGAGAAUUGUAUGGGGGAAGCCACAAGUUCCUCAAGCUGUGAGAAAUUGGGCAUCCGGAGAGUGUUCGGGGCAGUGAGGUGAAUUGAUCUUCGCACCAGAACAGAAGAUAUAAUGGCUGACAAAUCGUUUCAAUAUGAACAUUUUAAAUUACCGGGAAAAUCAGGAAAUUGGAAGUCAUCAAUUAAAGCUACAUUAUUUCGCGAGUGAGAGUUUUAAUUUACAGAAAAUAUUGUCUUGCCCUUAUAGUACAUUAGUUUAUUUCGGCCCAUUAGCUUCAGAAGACUGUCUUGUGACGAUAGAGCACUGAUGUAGGGCCCAGGUAAAAGUUGUAUUUUAAAGACCAUGAUAACUAACAGAUAAAUGCCUUUGGAAAACAUAAUUAGAAUCACCAAGU